rnacentral:rRNA from 1 species
CCUANGGGUGGCAGCAGUAACGAAUCUUCGUCAAUGCACGAAAGUGUGAACGAGCGACGCCGCGUGGAGGAUUAAGUUCUUCGGAAUGUAAACUCCUGUCAGGGGUAAGAAAGUUCUGAUCUACCCCAGAGGAAGUGGCGGCUAACUCUGUGCCAGCAGCCGCGGUAAGACAGAGGCCACAAGCGUUAGGCGGAAUCACUGGGCUUAAAGCGUGCGUAGGCGGCUAUGUAAGUCAGGAGUGAAAGUUUGCGGCUCAACCGUAAAAUUGCUUUUGAUACUGCAUGGCUAGAAUUAGGAUGAGGUCAGCGGAAUGUGGCAUGUAGCGGUGAAAUGCAUAGAUAUGCCAUAGAACACCAAUUGCGAAGGCAGCUGGCUAGACCUGGAUUGACGCUGAGGCACGAAAGCGUGGGGAGCGAACAGGAUUAGAUACCCGANUANUC